rnacentral:rRNA from 1 species
GACGAACGCUGGCGGCGUGCUUAACACAUGCAAGUCGAACGGAAAGGCCCUGCUUUUGUUGGGUGCUCGAGUGGCGAACGGGUGAGUAACACGUGAGUAACCUGCCCUUGACUUUGGGAUAACUUCAGGAAACUGGGGCUAAUACCGGAUAUGAGCUCCUGCUGCAUGGUGGGGGUUGGAAAGUUUCGGCGGUUGGGGAUGGACUCGCGGCUUAUCAGCUUGUUGGUGGGGUAGUGGCUUACCAAGGCUUUGACGGGUAGCCGGCCUGAGAGGGUGACCGGCCACAUUGGGACUGAGAUACGGCCCAGACUCCUACGGGAGGCAGCAGUGGGAAAUAUCGCACAAUGGGCGGAAGCCUGAUGCAGCAACGCCGCGUGCGGGAUGACGGCCUUCGGGUUGUAAACCGCUUUCGCCUGUGACGAAGCGUGAGUGACGGUAAUGGGUAAAGAAGCACCGGCUAACUACGUG